GCUGAUGACCAAAUCACCCUGAAUGCACCCCAUCUUGUCACAUCUUGGAAGCUAAACAGGAUCGUGCCUGGUUGGUAUGUGGAUUGGUGGCUACCUAGAGGCAUUACAGGCUUUUGCUAUGA
rnacentral:rRNA from 1 species